rnacentral:rRNA from 1 species
UCAAGCUACAAAGAGCACAAGGGGAAUGCCUUGGCACCGAGAGCCGAAGAAGGACGUGACUAACUGCGAUAAGCUGCGGGGAGCCGUAAGUAGGCUUUGAUCCGCAGAUUUCCGAAUGGAGCAAUCCGGCAAGAGGAAAGUCUUGUCAUCAUAUACUGAAUACAUAGGUAUAUGAGGGGAACCGCCUGAACUGAAACAUCUAAGUAGGGCGAGGAAGAGAAAUCAACUGAGAUUCCGUAAGUAGUGGCGAGCGAACGCGGAAGAGGCCAAACCGAGAGUAGUAAUACUUUCGGGGUUCGGACAGAAUACGGCAUUGUAAAGGUUUAGUGGAAUGGAAUGGGAAGUCCAACCGAAGAAGGUGAGAGUCCUGUACACGAAAAGCCUGAACAGCCAUCUGUAUCCAGAGUACCGCCGGACACGUGAAACCCGGUGGGAAUAUGGGGGGACCAUCCUCCAAGCCUAAAUACUACUCGGUGACCGAUAGUGAAGAAGUACUGUGAAGGAAAGGUGAAAAGUACCCCUGACGGGGAGUGAAAAAGAACCUGAAACCUUGUGUUUACAAGCACCGAAAGCUCAUCAAAGAGCGAUCGGGUACCUUUUGUAGAAUGGUCCGGCGAGUGAAUGUAACCGGCGAGGUUAAGCACUUAAGGUGUGAAGCCGCAGCGAGAGCAAGUCUGAAUAGGGCGUAUGAAGUCGGUUGUAUUCGACCCGAAACCGGGUGACCUACCCAUGGUCAGGUUGAAGUAAAGGUAAAACUUUAUGGAGGACCGAACCGACUCCCGUUGAAAUGGUAGCGGAUGAACUGUGGGUAGCGGAGAAAUUCCAAUCGAACCCGGAGAUAGCUGGUUCUCUCCGAAAUAGCUUUAGGGCUAGCCUUGAAAUAGAUUACCGGAGGUAAAGCACUGAAUUGGCUAGGGGCCGAGAGGUUACUGAACCUUAUCAAACUAAGAAUGCCGGAUAAUCGUUUUUCAGGAGUCAGACAGUGGGAGAUAAGUUUCAUUGUCAAAAGGGAAACAGCCCAGACCCACAGCUAAGGUCCCCAAGUAUAGUUAAGUGGAAAAGGAUGUGGAAUUGCACAGACAACCAGGAUGUUGGCUUAGAAGCAGCCACUCAUUAAAAGAGUGCGUAAUAGCUCACUGGUCGAGUGACUCUGCGCCGAAAAUUUAACGGGGCUAAACUAUACACCGAAGCUUGGGAUACAUCUAAUGUAUGGUAGGAGAGCGUUCUGUAUGGGGAGAAGUCGUAGCGAAAGCGGCGGUGGACUAUACAGAAGUGAGAAUGCCGGAAUAAGUAGCGAGAAUUAAGUGAGAAUCUUAAUGGCCGAAAGUCUAAGGUUUUUGGAGGAAGGUUCGUCCGCUCCAAGUAAGUCGGGAGCUAAGGUCAGGCCGAAAGGCGUAGCCGAUGCACAUACGGUUGAUAUUCCGUAACCAUCUGUAAUUUAAGCAAAGGGACACUUCAAAAGGGUGUGACCCGGGCGUUGGUUGACCCGGGCGUAAGGGACCGAAAUUAGAGUAGGGAAGCACACUUGGCUGAAGGCGAGAAAAGCUUUGCGUAUAGAAGCAGAUGCCCGUACCGCAAACCGACACAGGUGGACAGGAAGAGAAUUCUAAGGCCAGCGGGAGAAGGGUAGUUAAGGAACUCGGCAAAUUGACUCCGUAACUUCGGAAUAAGGAGUGCUCGAAAGAGCCGCAGAGAAUAGGCCCAGGCGACUGUUUAGCAAAAACACAGGUCUCUGCCAAAUCGAAAGAUGAAGUAUAGGGGCUGACACCUGCCCGGUGCCGGAAGGUUAAGAGGAGGAGUGAGAGCUCCGAAUUGAAGCCCCGGUAAACGGCGGCCGUAACUAUAACGGUCCUAAGGUAGCGAAAUUCCUUGUCGGGUAAGUUCCGACCCGCACGAAUGGUGUAA